UACAGAGGUCUCAAGCGUUGUUCGGAUUCAUUGGGCGUAAAGGGCGCGUAGGCUGCGGGGUAAGUCGGGUGUGAAAUCUCAGAGCUCAACUCUGAAACUGCACUCGAUACUGCUCUGCUUGAGGACUGGAGAGGAGAUUGGAAUUCACGGUGUAGCAGUGAAAUGCGUAGAUAUCGUGAGGAAGACCAGUGGCGAAGGCGGAUCUCUGGACAGUUCCUGACGCUGAGGCGCGAAGGCCAGGGGAGCAAACAGG
rnacentral:rRNA from 1 species